AUGAAGUUUUGCUGGUACAUUCAGAGGUCGUUCCUUCGUUUUUAAAAUGAUAUGUUUCAGCACACUGUUAUGUCCUGUUUAUUGUCUCGUGUGUUCCUUUCUGUUCCAUAUUCCGGCUUUUAUCCCAGUUAGUUAACGUAAAAGGCAGUGACAAGUCAGCGAGUUGGCUGCGACAAGUCAGCGAGUUGGCUGCCCUGCCAAUGAGAGAUACCCGAACUAUGAAGUGUGGCAGCACGUGAAGUAGCAGACAUUAGGUGUAACGACUUCGGGGUUUCGUCUGUUUGUACUGGUGGCUGUAGUUAUCGCUGUGAAAAAUGGACAAGGCUGCACAAGAUAAUCGCACUAAUCAGUGCAACCCGACUCACGAGAAAACCGGUCCUGGUCGUGAUGCUGGUUACAAGGGAACAGGAACAAAAUCAGAUCUGGACAACCAUGCCAAUCAGUUGAAUCCGAACAAUCCUCGUUACCAAGGAGGUAAUAAAUAAGGAAGAGUGGAUGGUUUCUUCUGUAUGCCAGCACUUAACAUUAAGUGAUAAAACAUAAAAAAUUAAAAAUUUCCAGAAUUACUGUUUAAUACUUCUUAUGACACAAAGUUAUGUACUUUAAACCAACUAAAGACAACUAAAUGCCUGAAUUUUGAAAAGUC